rnacentral:rRNA from 1 species
GCGUUAAUCGGAAUUACUGGGCGUAAAGCGUGCGCAGGCGGUCUUGUAAGACAGAGGUGAAAUCCCUGGGCUCAACCUAGGAAUGGCCUUUGUGACUGCAAGGCUGGAGUGCGGCAGAGGGGGAUGGAAUUCCGCGUGUACCAGUGAAAUGCGUAGAUAUGCGGAGGAACACCGAUGGCGAAGGCAGUCCCCUGGGCCUGCACUGACGCUCAUGCACGAAAGCGUG